rnacentral:rRNA from 1 species
GACGAACGCUGGCGGCGUGCUUAACACAUGCAAGUCGAACGGAAAGGCCCUGCUUUUGUGGGGUGCUCGAGUGGCGAACGGGUGAGUAACACGUGAGUAACCUGCCCUUGACUUUGGGUUAACUUCAGGAAACUGGGGCUAAUACCGGAUAGGAGCUCCUGCUGCAUGGUGGGUGUUGGAAAGUUUCGGUGGUUGGGGAUGGACUCGCGGCUUAUCAGCUUGGUGGUGGGGUAGUGGCUUACCAAGGCUUUGACGGGUAGCCGGCAUGAGAGGGUGACCGGCCACAAUGGGACUAAGAUACGGACCAGACUGGUACGGGAGACAGCAGGGGGGAGUAUUGCACAGUGGGGGGGAGUCUGAGGCAGCAGCGUCGCGUGCGUGAUGACCGCCUGCGGGGUGUAAACCGCUUUCGCCUGUGACGAAGCGGGAGUGACGGUAAUGGGUAAAGAAGCACCGGCUAACUACGUG